rnacentral:lncRNA from 1 species
GAAUUCAAUCUGCGAUAGAAGUAAAAAUCCGUUUCAUAAAACAAAUAACAAGUUUAUAUAGUCAAUAAUAUGUAUUGAUAGUUCGCGAACGAGUCUAAUUGCACUGUCGCGCUCGCUCUAGCGCGCGCCUAUAUCCAACUAAAACGUAAACAACGACCUUAUCUGUACACAUACAGUAACAGCUAGGCAACUUCGGUGCUGGACACGGUUUUCUGUAGAAAUCCUGAAAUAUACAGAGUGUAUUACCAUAUGCUUGCUUCUUUGAGUAUGUGCCUGAAACAAGAAUGUCCUGGAGAAAACGGACCACAACAAGAAAAGAGAUGGAGAGGAAGGGCUUGCUGUUGAGAGAUCAUGGGGUGCCUUGAGGUUCCACUUCCAGUCUUGAUGUUCUGCCCCUUACCUCUAAGCGAUGGCCUCUUGUGCCUGGCAAUAUAUGAGCGAAGCACAAUGGACUGGUGCUGGUGGAGCUGCAUGUAUCUUUUACUCAUCAAUGGUAGUUUUAAAAUCUUCCUCUGUAUUGUGAAAGCAGAAACAUGAUGUAGAGUGGAAGAGAAAAAAGUAUGUAACACAGUAUCAUUUAAAAUAGAUUUUAUAAAGUAAAAACACACUGGCCUGCAGUUUGUGAAACAUGUAGCACUGUAUUACCAAUUAAAAGAAUUCAGCGAUUUUUACAACGUGCUCUAUAGGCAUUUAUGUACUGGUUAUGUUGUAACACAAAAUGAAUUCUUAACUUUAAUCCUGGAUCCAUUGCUAAACAUAAUGUCAACCCUAAAUGUAUUAAACAUUGCCAGACCCAAUUUCGGGCUACCCUAAAUCCCUUUCUACAUACCAGUAUUGUUCAAAGUUUAUAUUUAUUACACCCUUACUGCGAGUUCUAGAAAUUCUGCAAGAACCCUACCCUGCUGUUCACUUUAUAAUUAGUACUUCACAUUGCUUUCAUGAACAUGCCGUAAAAGUGAAUUUAUUUUAUGUCUCUAUACAAACAGGUGCCUGUACAUGUAAUGUAUUUCAUGCAAAUGAAGGGUAGAAUGAGAAGCUCACAAUGAUAUGGUAGACAAGGACCUUGCUGUCUAAAGCUCGGAGGCCAGAUGACAGUGUCUGAACCGGCGUGUCGGAAUUGCGUACAAGGAUGCCAUUGGACUUUUCUGUACUAGUAGCUGAAGGGGGGAGCAGUCACCAGAAGGAGCAUGCAACUCCAAAACAAUGUGGAUACUUCUACCGAGUUCAUCUCAAGAAUCAAGAUGUGACAGUGGAUGUACAUGUAGAGGGGUUUGUGACCCUCCUGACUGUGGACUACAUGCAAUACACAUCAAUGGAUUGUAGAGGAGUAAUGGUGGGUCCGGUGAGCUCAACUCUGGAGGUUAAGUUCGCAAAAUUAAUAAAUUUCCUUUUAAUAUGGGUGUAUAUGGUUCCAGGGAUUAAUUUGACGCAAUGCCUCGUAGUGACACGCCCUAUUAAGGGGCAACACACGUGUCAGAAGGUAUAAAAUGGGAAGCAGUUCCUGAAUUUGUUUCAUACCUCAUUUCCUUUGCCGCCAUGAGGUGCUAAAGUUUUAGCAGAGUUGGGGGCUUCCAGCCCAUAGAUGUGACUUUUCAUGAUUAUAUGUAAUAAAUUGUAAUAAAGUUACUAUCCACUUCAACA